rnacentral:rRNA from 1 species
AUUGAACGCUGGCGGCAGGCCUAACACAUGCAAGUCGAGCGAGCGGCGGACGGGUGGGUAAUGUCUGGGAAACUGCCUGAUGGAUGGGGAUGACUACUGGAAACGGUAGCUAAUACAGCAUACCAUCAGAUGUGCCCAGAUGGGCUUUGCUAGUGUGUGGGGUGACGGAUCACCUAGGCGACGAUCCCUAGCUGGGCGGAGAGGAUGACCAGCCACACUGGAACUGAGACGAGGUCCAGACUCCACCGGGAGGGGGCAUUGGGGAAAAGUGCACAAGGGGCGCAAGGCUGAUGCAGCCCUGCCGCGUGGGGGAAGAAGGCCUUGGGGUUGUAAAGCACUUUCAGUGGGAAAGCGGUAUCCGCAGAAGAAGCACCGGCUAACUCCGUGCCAGCAGCCGCGGUAAUAC